CCGUUGACAAAACGGAGGAAGUGGGGAUGACGUCAAAUCAUCAUGCCCCUUAUGUUCUGGGCUACACACGUGCUACAAUGGCCGGUACAGACGGACGCAAAGCCGCGAGGUGGAGCAAAUCCUAAAAAGCCGGUCUCAGUUCGGAUUGCAGGCUGCAAUUCGCCUGCAUGAAGUCGGAAUCGCUAGUAAUCGCAGGUCAGCAUACUGCGGUGAAUACCGGUUCCCGGGCCUU
rnacentral:rRNA from 1 species